rnacentral:rRNA from 1 species
UACAGAGGUCUCAAGCGUUGUUCGGAUUCAUUGGGCGUAAAGGGUGUGUAGGUGGCGCGCUAAGUCGGGUGUGAAAUUUCGGAGCUUAACUCCGAAACUGCAUUCGAUACUGGCGUGCUUGAGGACUGGAGAGGAGACUGGAAUUCAUGGUGUAGAGGUGAAAUUCGUAGAUAUCAGGAGGAACACCAGUGGCGAAGGCGGGUCUCUGGGCCGAUACUGACGCUGAGGAGCGAAAGCGUGGGGAGCGAACAGG